UACGUAGGGGGCAAGCGUUGUCCGGAAUCAUUGGGCGUAAAGCGCGCGUAGGCGGCCCGGUAAGUCCGCUCUGAAAGUCCAGGGCUCAACCCUGGAAAGCGGGUGGAUACUGCCGGGCUAGAAUCCGGAAGAGGCGAGUGGAAUUCCUGGUGUAGCGGUGAAAUGCGCAGAUAUCAGGAGGAACACCGAUUGCGAAGGCAGCUCGCUGGGACGUUACUGACGCUGAGACGCGAAGCGUGGGGAGCAAACAGG
rnacentral:rRNA from 1 species